GAUGAGCCUUGCCUUGAGGAAAGCCACCUUCAUGAUCAUAGCCUGUUCCCUGCCAGGCGUAGUGUCAUUCGUCAUAGUGUACACUUCAUAGACUACAGUAAAGUAUAGACAUAACUUCGAUAUAUACUGGAAAACCAAAACUGAAAUUCAUGUGACUAGCUGUAUUGCAGUGAUCUGAAACCUAGCUAAAAUAUCUCAGAGGUGAGCCUGUCUUUAGUGAACCACUUCUACCCUGCUGGAUUGGCCUCAGCGAGCAAGGGCAAGGGGGAGAUUGUGAACUCUGAAGCCCAGCCCAGGAGAGGAAGAGACAAUUCUGCAUCAGCCAUGGACUCCCGGAACACAGAGCUGCCCUGCUCCAUCUCUGUGGCCCCAUCCCCAACACAGCACCUAUCCUCCCAAAAUGGAGAACAAAGGGGACCAGGAAUCAUCCUUGGUGUCUCUGCAAGGUCUCCCUGAAGGAGGCCAAGAUUACUGAAGCCAAACCUGGAACAUGAAGAGAAGCAAGUUAGCAGGAGGGUAUUGGGAGGCUUGAAGGAGGCUGUGACAAAAUCACUUAGGGGGCACCAUGUGCUAUUGAUAGAGAAAUAGGAGCUAGAAAUGUCCUGUAAGGAGUUCCCAAUUCCACAGUUACUUCAGGGGUUUGAUGGAAUACUUUGUGUUCCAUUCAUGGUAAGAACCAAGGCUGUUUUGGGAGAGGUGAAGGUCUUCACUCCUCCAGAACAAGUCCUGGGCAUCUCCAGAU